rnacentral:rRNA from 1 species
GAUCAAUGGCUCAGAUUGAACGCUGGCGGCAUGCCUUACACAUGCAAGUCGAACGGCAGCACGGACUUCGGUCUGGUGGCGAGUGGCGAACGGGUGAGUAAUAUAUCGGAACAUACCCUAGAGUGGGGGAUAACGUAGCGAAAGUUACGCUAAUACCGCAUACGAACUAAGGUUGAAAGCGGGGGGAUCUUCGGACCUCGUGCUCAUGGAGUGGCCGAUAUCUGAUUAGCUAGUUGGUGAGGUAAAGGCUCACCAAGGCGACGAUCAGUAGCUGGUUUGAGAGAACGACCCAGCCACACUGGAACUGAGACACGGUCCAGACUCCUACGGGAGGCAGCAGUGGGGAAUUUUGGACAAUGGGCGCAAGCCUGAUCCAGCAAUGCCGCGUGAGUGAAGAAGGCCUUCGGGUUGUAAAGCUCUUUUGUCAGGGAAGAAACGGUGAGUCCUAAUAUGGCUUGCUAAUGACGGUACCUGAAGAAUAAGCACCGGCUAACUACGUG